rnacentral:rRNA from 1 species
AACGAACGCUGGCGGCGUGCUUAACACAUGCAAGUCGAACGGAAAGGCCCUGCUUUUGUGGGGUGCUCGAGUGGCGAACGGGUGAGUAACACGUGAGUAACCUGCCCUUGACUUUGGGAUAACUUCAGGAAACUGGGGCUAAUACCGGAUAGGAGCUCCUGCCGCAUGGUGGGGGUUGGAAAGUUUCGGCGGUUGGGGAUGGACUCGCGGCUUAUCAGCUUGUUGGUGGGGUAGUGGCUUACCAAGGCUUUGACGGGUAGCCGGCCUGAGAGGGUGACCGGCCACAUUGGGACUGAGAUACGGCCCAGACUCCUACGGGAGGCAGCAGUGGGGAAUAUUGCACAAUGGGCGGAAGCCUGAUGCAGCAACGCCGCGUGCGGGAUGACGGCCUUCGGGUUGUAAACCGCUUUCGCCUGUGACGAAGCGUGAGUGACGGUAAUGGGUAAAGAAGCACCGGCUAACUACGUG